GACGAACGCUGGCGGCGUGCUUAACACAUGCAAGUCGAACGGUGAAGCGCCUUCCUUUUUGGUGGGUGUGGAUGAGUGGCGAACGGGUGAGUAACACGUGAGUAACCUGCCCCCUUCUUCUGGAUAACCGCAUGAAAGUGUGGCUAAUACGGGAUAUUCUGGGUCUGUCGCAUGAUGGGUCUGGGAAAGAUAUUGUUUCGGUGGGGGAUGGGCUCGCGGCCUAUCAGCUUGUUGGUGGGGUGAUGGCCUACCAAGGCGGUGACGGGUAGCCGGCCUGAGAGGGUGGAAGGACACACGGGGACUGAGACACGGCCCAGACUCAUACGGGAGGCAGCAGUGGGGAAUAUUGCACAAUGGGCGCAAGCCUGAUGCAGCGACGCCGCGUGAGGGAUGGAGGCCUUCGGGUUGUGAACCUCUUUAGCCAGUGAAGCAGGCCUGCCUCGUUUGUGGGUGGGUUGACGGUAGCUGGAGAAGAAGCGCCGGCUAACUACGUG
rnacentral:rRNA from 1 species